UUUAUUUAUAAAGGAUUUGACUUUAUUCUCACAGAGCUUUGAUCUAACAGGCCUCGAUCUUCAGCUCAGUUGUGCUCACACCACACUGUGCUUUCUCUUCCCGUCAAACAAGUGAUGUGUACGUCGCUCACUCCUCCCUGCUUUCACACUCUCCUUAUAAGGACAUUUGACAGUCAUCAGUGUCCUUUGCUGGCUCCUCCUCCAUCAAACCACAAAUGGGUUUUUGUUUUUCUUAUCUUUAGAUUACGAUCAACGACAAACAAUAUAAAUAAGACGGAGACUGAGAGCAGGAGAGAAAGAACCAUGUGAGAAUCAAAACUAGCACUACCACAAGCAAUAAAAUAAUAUAUUUACCUUAAUGUUGAAUCUUUUUCACAAAAUUAGAUUUUGGACAGAUUGAUCUUAAUUCCUCCCAUCUGAUACCCUACGCUUACUAUACUGGAUAUUUGUUAGAGCAAGAAUGAAUUGCUGCUGUAUGCACCUGUUGACCAAGUAAGGGGAGGAUCCACCUCUUCUGCAGUGAAGAUCUGAGACAAAAUCUCAUGUUGGCAUCAAAUUCAGUCGUGACUCCAUAACAACAUAAACAAUGUUCAACAUGGCUUCGAAGAAGGUGAAAAUGGACCCUAGUGUCGUCUGGAGACAAGAGAUGGAGGGGAGGCAUUCUGGCAUCUGGCACUUCUCUGGAAUAAUCUCGUAAUCACUACCGAAAUCUGAGAUCACGUGUUGAUGUGUUUGGACCUCCACAACCAACAUGACAUGACAAAAGCCUGUGACAAAACAUGUAUACAGUAUAUACAAUACAUCAGAGCUCAUUCCACACUAGAUUUGAAUAAAUGGUUUACAGUAACUCAGUAUUCAAAAUAUUGUAAGGAGGAUGAUGAUGAUUUAGAUUUUUGUAAAUUUACACCAGCUUCUAUUAUUCUGUAGCUUCCAUAAUUUUGUGUAUCAGUCGACCCUGUUGUGCAUUAUUGCCCAUAUAAAAACUGAGGCAUGGCAAUAUGAAGUGACUAUCACACUGACUGAAGACUGGUCUUAAAACUUCACUUUGUGCCAUCUAAAUUGUCCUUGGAAUAUUAUUUAUUACAUGUGAGCCCAGAUCAAACACUGUUUUCUUCUCCUGUUAUGACAUGUUGAGUCAUAUUGUGUUGUUUGUUUGUUUUUUGUCUUAACUCUCUCCUUUUACCUGCUGUUUGUGUUUUUGAUCAUAUUGUUAUACAUUAAGCCAGGAGAGAGAAAACAGAUGCUGGUAUGUUCAGGAUACCAGUUACUUUUUUCAGCCGUCAUGUUUGUGCUAUAGUGAAAAUAAUUCACUGACCAGCAUUAGAAACUUGAUAGAUGAGAGUGUGACCUGAAACUAUGGCUGAGUAUGUUAAUGCAGAUGUGUAUUCUGGAGAAGAAGUUUCUUGAAGUUUGAAGGCAGAUGUUGAUGUAGCUUGUGAAGGUAAAGUAGUUAAAUACGUUUGUGUAAAGUACAGAGUGACUGACAUCUUUUUCAAAGUAACAUCACUCUUGGUUUUUGAAAACAGCAAGUUAUUUGAUAUUUGUGUUCAAGGCUGAAAUCUUAUUGGUGGAGACUUUAUUUAUAAAAAAUGUGAAGAAAAAAAAAACAAUGGAGUAAACCAGCACCCUGUGGUGACAGACAUUGUCUGUAUGAGUGAAAAAUAAAAAGUCUGAUAUUAUUUAGUCAAACUCAAGUGGGCCAGCUUUCACAGUUUCUUUUUUUACUUUGCUACAAAGCUUUGUCUUUAAAGGCCUCGUGACUUUCAUGUCAGUUGUGCUCAGACCACACUGUGCUGCCUCUUCCUGUGAAGUGAUGUGUAUCUCACUCACGCCUCCCUCCCCCUGACUGUCAAACUUACUCACAGGACAAGUCAAAUGGUCUGCCAUCAGUGUCCUUUGUGGCUCCUCCUCAACAAACAUCAAAUAUGUCCUUGUUUCUCUUAGAUGAAGAUCGGAGGCAGACAAAAUAAGAAAGACAGAGACUUUGGCUGAGAGUGAGAGUUUUAUUUAGUGUGCUCCUCUCCUCGUGUGUCUUAUAUGUUUUACUUCCUGUCUUUGUUUGCUUUCCCUCCGGUUUAGAUUGUUGGCCCCACCUUGUUUGCACCUGUGUCUCGUUGUCGCCCUUACCUCAGUGUAAUUAGUCUGGGGCUUUUCGUUUGUUCAUUGUCGCGUCGUUGUCCUUAUCAUGUGCAUUUUGGUUGUGCUUUGUUCCCGUCUCAUGCAUCCCGGCUUUUGGUUUCCUGUAAGUUCUGUUGGACUGACUCUUAAUUUCCUUGUACCUUGUCUGCACUGUGGACUUUUGUAUUUUGCCUGCUCCCUGUCGGAUUUUGUUUGCUUGUUGGACUUGUCCCCUGUUUUUUGACCGCUGCCUGCCUUAGGCCCGUGGUCGUUCCUUGCCGUUGGUUGCGGCCUCCGUGUUCUGCCUGCCCCGCUACACAAGCCAAGCCAGAACCUACACUCUCCGUCCACGGAGCCUCGCCGCUCUAGAAGAACUCAGUUCCCCCAGUAUGUGCUUGCAGUAUACCAUAAAAACGGUUCCAACCUCAUCCAAAUACCACUUCCUUGCGUUCUGCAUUUGGGUACUUAAAUCGUGCAGAUAACAGAGAGAGACAGAAAAUGCAAACUGACCAUGAAUAUAGGAACUUUAUUAAAAUGUCCUUCUGCUGGGUGGCAGCAGCUUAAUAUGAUAAAUCAUCAGUCACACUCAGAGUAAAUUGCAUGAGUUUCCACUUCCCUAUCUGAUGCAGGCCUCCUGCUUCUUAUUGCUGUUGAAUACAAAGUCAGUGCUGCGUCCUUCAGACCUUGAGAGUCCAGAUUCUGUUAAAAAGAAUAUUUAGUCUCUUAUCUUUCCCUGCUGAACUUUUAGAGAAAAACAAAAUAAUUUUAAUAAAUAACUUAAAACAAAUAAAAUUUAAUUAUAACACUUG